rnacentral:lncRNA from 1 species
GCAGAGACAGCCCUGCCCCUCCUCGGCCACCCUGCAGGCUGUGCCCAGCCGGCACUUCCUCCUCUUUCCUGGGAAACACUCCCGGCUUCCCGCUGCCGGGCGCCUCUCGGAGACGCUGUGGAGACAGCGAGCGGGACUCCUGCGCCCACGGGAUGCUCUCUGGAGUGCCGGGCAGGUGGUCCCUGGCGGGCGGGGGGCAUGGCCUGCCGGCCCACCCCGCUCCCCCUCCACACACACACCGUGCAGUGCCGGGGCUGGGGGAGUCCUUGCACACCUUCCAGCAUCAUGGCACAGAUGGAGAAACUGAGGCACAGAGAGGCUCCACGUUCCCAGGCCUCUUCUCUCCCUCCGCCCCCCACCACCGGGGCCAAACAUCCAGCCCCGUAAGUCCUCCAGGUGAAAACGGGCAUCCCGGCCACCGCCCUGCUGGGAAAUAAGCCUUCUGCGGAAGCACCCGCUGCACAUUUGCUAAAUUAAUGAAAAAGGAACUGCACGGGGUGAGUCGAUGCCCCGGCUCGGUGUGUCCGGAGUGGGGGCUCUCACAGCCGGCCUCCCCCUCUGUCAGACACCGGGGUGGCCGUGCCCUCCCCGGGGAGCAGGAUGCUCCUUUGUUCUGCGAGCUGGGUUUCCCAGGUGAGCGCCACCCCCUUCCCAGCAAAAGAGACAGGGGGUCUGCAUUGUCGCCCCGCACGGUGCCCGGCCCCCUGGAGGGGCUCGGCCGACCUGUGUUCAAUCCUCGGGACGAGACACAGGCUCGUUUUCCUCUUGGAAGAGCACGAAGGAGUUUCUAGAAACCACUGCGCUGGGGUGCCCUGGAGAGCCGCACGGGCGAGGCACCUAGGGGCCAGGGGUGGAGGUGCUGAGACUGAGCCCCGAGCUUUCUGUGCAGCCUCAGAUCCUGACGGAGACCCAACCCCGGAGGGGCAGGGGGCAGGGAGCAGCCGACGGCUGGACCUUUACUUGGUGUCGUCUGACCGCGGGGACUUGGCUGAUGUACGAGAAGCCCCUGCGAGAGAUGAGCCAGGCGUGGACGGGGACCUCGCUGGACCCCGCCGGACCCCAAUGAACCCCGCAGGACCCCACUGGACCCCGCUGGACCUCGCUGGAUCCCACUGGACCCCGCUGGGCCUGCGUGAGCCCGGGCGGCCAGACUGUUACGAGCUAACCCAAGUUGAGACUAACCUUUCAGCAGAACAGUUUGAGUUAAAAUAAAGGGAUUGAAAAAGAGUACAAUGACCAAAAAAAUCUAUAAAAAUGCAAUUGCGCUAAUAUAAUUUUAUCACUUAUUUAAAAAUUUAGUCGACCCAAAAGACUACCAAGUGUGAAAUUAAGGAACAGCUCCUCUACUUUUAUGGAAAUCACUCUUCCUCACUUGUCUAAUAGCCUGAUUUUGUCAGAUCAUUUAUUUCCAUGGUUUUAAAAUGAGCUUGACAGACAGAAUUUUAUAACACCACUUUACUGCAAAUAAGAACAUCAUUUUCGCUUAUUAAAACUGAAGCUUAGAGAAAGCAUUAAAAUUAACAGUUCACUCUGCUUUAACCUUUUGAAUCCUGCCGCGACGUUACGGGGAAGGCCGCGCGCGAGGGAGGCCG